UACGGGGGGGGCAAGCGUUGUUCGGAAUUACUGGGCGUAAAGGGCUCGUAGGUGGCCAACUAAGUCAGACGUGAAAUCCCUCGGCUUAACCGGGGAACUGCGUCUGAUACUGGAUGGCUUGAGUUUGGGAGAGGGAUGCGGAAUUUCAGGUGUAGCGGUGAAAUGCGUAGAUAUCUGGAGGAACACCGGUGGCGAAGGCGGCUCACUGGACCAUAACUGACGCUGAGGCGCGAAAGCGUGGGGAGCAAACAGG
rnacentral:rRNA from 1 species